GAUUGACCUCGGAUCAGUAGGGAUACCCGCUGAACUUAAGCAUAUCAAUAAGCGGAGGAAAAGAAACAACAGGGAUUGCCUCAGUAACGGCGAGUGAAGCGGCAACAGCUCAAAUUUGAAAUCUGGUGCUUUUGUGCCCGAGUUGUAAUUUGUAGAGGAUGUUUCGGGUGCGGUACCGUUCUAAGUUCCUUGGAACAGGGCGUCAUAGAGGGUGAGAAUCCCGUACGUGACCGGUCACCAAACUCAUGUGAAACUCCUUCGACGAGUCGAGUUGUUUGGGAAUGCAGCUCAAAAUGGGAGGUAUAUUUCUUCUAAAGCUAAAUACCGGCCAGAGACCGAUAGCGCACAAGUAGAGUGAUCGAAAGAUGAAAAGCACUUUGGAAAGAGAGUUAAAAAGUACGUGAAAUUGUUGAAAGGGAAGCGCUUGCAACCAGACUCGCCCUGGGGUGAUCAACCGUUCUUCGGGACGGUGCACUCUCCCCCGGGCGGGCCAGCAUCGGUUUGGGCGGCUGGAUAAAACCUCCAGGAAUGUAGCUCCUCUCGGGGAGUGUUAUAGCCUGGGUACAAUGCAGUCAGCCUGACCCGAGGACCGCGCUUUUGUAGAUGCUGGCUAAUG
rnacentral:rRNA from 1 species